UGGGUGUGUAGCUCAGUGGCAGAGCAUAUGCCUAGCCUGCCUGAAGCCCUGAGUUCAAUCCACAGCAAGAA
rnacentral:tRNA from 1 species